CCAUCCCCUCAGGACAUAAUCUUGCUGCUAGCACAAGAACGGGCAUGAAAGAAGCCUGAAAUACACUAGCAUUCAGACGCAAGGCAAAUUUUGCAGAAACAAAUAAUAUCAUAGUUGAAUUAAAGCCCCAAAAGAAGGAGAAAAACAGUAUGUGUGAUUAUUUAGUAGUAGACACUCACAACAUCCGAGAAAGCAACAGAGAGAGAUCCGAGAAGUAUGCAAAAAGCAGCACUAUAUUUGCUGUCAACAGAAGUGGCCAUCAGACUCCAUGAGAGUGCACCAAGCAGCCCGGAUAAAACUAGGUAUGACCUUCUCCGAUAACCAAAAAGGGGGAUGGAGUCACU